AUUGAACGCUGGCGGCAUGCCUUACACAUGCAAGUCGAACGGUAACAGGUCUUCGGACGCUGACGAGUGGCGAACGGGUGAGUAAUACAUCGGAACGUGCCCAGUCGUGGGGAAUAACUACUCGACAGAGUAGCUAAUACCGCAUACGAUCCGAGGAUGAAAGCGGGGGACCUUCGGGCCUCGCGCGAUUGGAGCGGCCGAUGGCAGAUUAGGUAGUUGGUGGGAUAAAAGCUUACCAAGCCGACGAUCUGUAGCUGGUCUGAGAGGACGACCAGCCACACUGGGACUGAGACACGGCCCAGACUCCUACGGGAGGCAGCAGUGGGGAAUUUUGGACAAUGGGCGAAAGCCUGAUCCAGCAAUGCCGCGUGCAGGAUGAAGGCCUUCGGGUUGUAAACUGCCUUUGUACGGAACGAAAAAGCUCCUUCUAAUACAGGGGGCCCAUGACGGUACCGUAAGAAUAAGCACCGGCUAACUACGUGCCAGCCGCCGCAGUAA
rnacentral:rRNA from 1 species